UACGGAGGGUGCAAGCGUUAUCCGGAUUUACUGGGUUUAAAGGGUGUGUAGGCGGGGCUUUAAGUCAGGGGUGAAAUCUCCGAGCUUAACUUGGAAACUGCCAUUGAUACUAUUGAUCUUGAAUUUUGUUGAGGUAGGCGGAAUAUGUCAUGUAGCGGUGAAAUGCAUAGAUAUGACAUAGAACACCAAUUGCGAAGGCAGCUUACUAAGCAAAUAUUGACGCUGAGGCACGAAAGCGUGGGGAUCAAACAGG
rnacentral:rRNA from 1 species